GCAAGUCGAGCGCUACCUUCGGGUGGAGCGGCGGACGGGUUAGUAACGCGUGGGAACGUACCCUUCUCUACGGAAUAGCCUCGGGAAACUGAGAGUAAUACCGUAUACGCCCUUUUGGGGAAAGAUUUAUCGGAGAAGGAUCGGCCCGCGUUAGAUUAGAUAGUUGGUGGGGUAACGGCCUACCAAGUCUACGAUCUAUAGCUGGUUUGAGAGGAUGAUC
rnacentral:rRNA from 1 species